rnacentral:rRNA from 1 species
CCUACGGGAGGCAGCAGUGAGGAAUAUUGGUCAAUGGCCGGAAGGCUGAACCAGCCAAGCCGCGUGAAGGACGAAGGUGCCAAGCAUUGUAAACUUCUUUUGUCAAGGGACAAAAUCAGGCUCGAGAGCCUGACCGAGGGUACUUGAAGAAAAAGCAUCGGCUAACCCCGUGCCAGCAGCCGCGGUAACACGGAGGAUGCGAGCGUUAUCCGGAUUUAUUGGGGGAAUGGGGUGCGUAGGCGGGCUGUUAAGUCAGCGGGAAAAGCCCGGGGCCAAACCCCGGCGAGCCGUUGAAACUGGGUGUCUUGAGAUGUCGAGAGGUAUGCGGAAUGCGCAGUGUAGCGGUGAAAUGCUUAGAUAUUGCGCAGAACUCCGAUUGCGAAGGCAGCAUACCGGCGGCGAUCUGACGCUGAGGCACGAAAGCGUGGGUAUCGAACAGGAUUAGAUACCCGGGUAGUC